CAGUAGGCCACGGCUGCCCCAAUGUGUAGGCUUCAUGUAGGCUGCCCUGUUAAUUCUGCUGUAUGCACAUCCACUCCUCCAAUGAUUUUAUGAUCUUUUCCCUUUUUAAACGGGUCUCAGAUCAUGUUAGGAAAAAUGUAUUCAUAAUUCUCCGGAGCCCCUCUACCUGUGCCUCUCUGGCAGUCAUUAUCAAACAUGGGUUUGGUUGAUUACCCAAUCACCCUGCAGAUGGGAAAGGCAGUCUUAUUGCUUGUUGCCUAGCCUACAAUAAGUUAACUUGAGUAUUAUAGUACCUUCAUAUCUGAGUUGUACUUACCACUGUGGUUACCACAAAUUCACCACUGACUACACUUCAGUAUCCCAGUUAUUAGGCUUAUCCUUUCUGGAAUAUCAUGGGAUUUUGGAAAGUCUAUUCCAGACAUGAAACAUGGGAUUUUAUCAUUUUGCGGGUAAAGUCAUGGAAUAUCAGGGAAUUUUGUUGUAGCAGCUCAAAAUAUACUUGCCAAAAUGCA